UACGGGGAGGCAAGCGUUGUUCGGAUUUAUGGUGCGUAAAGCGCGUGUAGGCGGUUUCUUAAGUCUGAUGUGAAAGCCCUGGGCUCAACCCAGGAAGUGCAUUGGAUACUGGGAAACUUGAAUACGGGAGAGGGUAGUGGAAUUCCUAGUGUAGGAGUGAAAUCCGUAGAUAUUAGGAGGAACACCGGUGGCGAAGGCGGCUACCUGGACCGAUAUUGACGCUGAGACGCGAAAGCGUGGGGAGCAAACAGG
rnacentral:rRNA from 1 species